UCCCUGUGGCUCAGACGGUAAAGCAUCUGCCUGCAAUGCGGGAGACCCAGGUUCAAUCCCUGGGUCGGGAA
rnacentral:tRNA from 1 species